GAUGAACGCUGGCGGCGUGCCUAAUACAUGCAAGUCGAGCGAACGGACGAGAAGCUUGCUUCUCUGAUGUUAGCGGCGGACGGGUGAGUAACACGUGGAUAACCUACCUAUAAGACUGGGAUAACUUCGGGAAACCGUAGCUAAUACCGGAUAAUAUUUUGAACCGCAUGGUUCAAAAGUGAAAGACGGUCUUGCUGUCACUUAUAGAUGGAUCCGCGCUGCAUUAGCUAGUUGGUAAGGUAACGGCUUACCAAGGCAACGAUGCAUAGCCGACCUGAGAGGGUGAUCGGCCACACUGAAACUGAGACACGGUCCAGACUCCUACGGGAGGCAGCAGUAGGGAAUCUUCCGCAAUGGGCGAAAGCCUGACGGAGCAACGCCGCGUGAGUGAUGAAGGUCUUCGGAUCGUAAAACUCUGUUAUUAGGGAAGAACAUAUGUGUAAGUAACUGUGCACAUCUUGACGGUACCUAAUCAGAAAGCCACGGCUAACUACG
rnacentral:rRNA from 1 species